rnacentral:rRNA from 1 species
GACGAACCGUGCGAACGUUGUUCGGAAUCACUGGGCUUAAAGGGUGCGUAGGCGGUGAAUUAAGUCAGUGGUGAAAGCUUACAGCUUAACUGUAAAAAUGCCAUUGAAACUGAUUUUCUUGAGUUCGAUUGAGGUAGAUGGAAUGUAUCAUGUAGCGGUGAAAUGCUUAGAUAUGAUACAGAACACCAAUUGCGAAGGCAGUCUACUAAGUCGAUACUGACGCUGAGGCACGAAAGCAUGGGGAGCAAACAGG